rnacentral:sRNA from 1 species
GACCACUUCAGCACGAAGUCAAGGCCAUACGGACAGCCGGGUCCAAUGCCG